AAGCUGGACAUGACCCAUGAAUUAAUUUUCAAGAAUGAAGGGACCCCCCUCAACCUAAGGGAGACUUCAAGCUCUGCUUAUGUGCAACUAAUAGUUAGCAGGAAAUGGGAGGUUCUGUAGUUCUCCAUGUGGACUUGAUUGCUCUGGAAGUUAG